rnacentral:rRNA from 1 species
UGGGGAAUUUUGCACAAUGGGCGCAAGCCUGAUGCAGCGACGCCGCGUGAGGGAUGAAGGCCUUCGGGUUGUAAACCUUUUUCGCUCAUGGUCAAGCCGCAGCUUUGGGUUGUGGUGAGGGUAGUGGGUAAAGAAGCGCCGGCUAACUACGUGCCAGCAGCCGCGGUAAUACGUAGGGCGCGAGCGUUGUCCGGAAUUCUUGGGCGUAAAGGGCUUGUAGGCGGUUGGCCGCGUCUGCCGUGAAAUCCUCUGGCUUAACUGGGGGCGUGCGGUGGGUACGGGUUGGCUUGAGUGCGGUAGGGGGGACUGGAAUUCCUGGUGUAGCGGUUGAAUGCGCAGAUAUCAGGAGGAACGCCGGUGGCGAAGGCGGGUCUCUGGGCCGUUACUGACGCUGAGGAGCGAAAGCGUGGGGAGCGAACAGG